AGAACACAGGGUAUAAAAGCAGAACUCCCAGGAAGUAGCUCUCUGGCUUUUCGGUGAGCAAAGGGAUCAGAGAUGAGAAAGAGAAAGGAGGGAAAGAGAUAAGACGCGGCUUGCAGCUCCUGGGAAGUCGGCCAAAAGUGAGAAGGGAGUCCGGCACCUAUAAAGAUGAUUUUAACCCUUUUUUUUCCUCAUGAUGGAAACCUUGCAAACGUUGAUCCUCCCGGAGGACAGAGAUAAGGCUGGAAAAAGAAGAAAUGGACAAGUAAAAUGAGAGGUUUGUGUGAGUAGGGUAUAGCGGAGAUAAUGAGAAGAAUUUACUUGGGAGGAGAUAAAUGGAGGAGCAGUUUUUUCGGCUGAACUUUUUCUUGUAUGCUGUGGACGGACUGGCUUUCUAUUGUAACACAGAGACUGCGGUUUUGGGGGGAAAGCAAUGGCUCGGAUCCAAGAAAGGCAGUGAAGAGUGGUGAUGGACAGAGAUCAGAAAUGAGGAAGAUGAUCUCUGUCGUGAAGCCCUAGCCCCGGGGAAAUGGGGGGGAUUUUACUAUCCCAAAAUGGAGAGACUGUCGUUUUCUUGGAACUGACCAAAGUAUCCUUAAAAAGAGAAACCCCAGAAGCAAUCUUCUGGUCCAUUUCCAUGGUGAGAGCAUGGAAUAAGGAAAGGGGUUAGUCAAGAAAUGGUACAAGGAGAAGACUCCUUUCUCUUUAAUAGAAUGAAUUGAUUGUUUGAAGAAGGAUAAUGGACUGAGAAUUAAAACCUGGGAGAUGGGGACUGAAGGAAGAUCUGAGUUUGUAUUGUAUGCUGUAAUGUGGGUUGAGAGGGGGAGGAGAAAUGUGUUUGAAAGAUUUCCAUUCUGUUUUUUGUGUGUGUGUGUAUGUUAAUAAAGUUUUUUUUUUCCUUU